rnacentral:rRNA from 1 species
UACGGAGGAUGCGAGCGUUAUCCGGAUUUAUUGGGUUUAAAGGGUGCGUAGGCGGGAUGCCAAGUCAGCGGUAAAAAUGCGGCGCUCAACGCCGUCGAGCCGUUGAAACUGGCGUUCUCGAGUGGGCGAGAAGUAUGCGGAAUGCGUGGUGUAGCGGUGAAAUGCAUAGAUAUCACGCAGAACUCCGAUUGCGAAGGCAGCAUACCGGCGCCCUACUGACGCUGAGGCACGAAAGCGUGGGUAUCGAACAGG